rnacentral:lncRNA from 1 species
AAAGAUUCGUACUUUCUCUCGAAACCUACAAACCUAGGUUAUAUUGUUCUUAGAUCACGCCUAAAUUUCCCUCUCUCGAGCGUCAAAUUUAGAACAUCAAUUCAUUCAAUUGGUGAUCAGGCAAAAGAAAGCAUUAAGCAAGAACGAUAUAAAUUCAAUUCUGGAAAAUUAAAUAGAAAUACUAUAAAGAAAUCGAAUCAUGUCUCAAAUAGG